GAUAGGUUGAACAUUAAGAAAUUUCAUGGGUAAAAGAACGUUACUUUUCUUCUCUCAAAUUUGAAGCCGCCGGGGGCCGUCGGUAUAACUUCUAAGUUGCCGCCAUCACAUCAUGAUCUUUUAGUUAGCAUAUGCCACCAGCCGCUUACUUCAUGGCCAGUAAAUGGUUGCCUCCUGCCGAGCUGACGGCGAGCGGCCGCCCUGUGCUGCAGCCGGGUGAGGUGGAAUGUUUUACCCUCUCUUCCGUCGACCUUGAAACCGAAAACAAUCCUACUCUUCCCCCUCUCAGAUCUGGACUCCUUAUCCUCACUACGCAUCGCCUGUUGUGGAUCCCCAACGCCACCGCCCCUCCCAUCGCCACCUUCUCUGUCUACGCCGCUGGGAUCCCCCUUAAGUCAGUGUCUCACAUAUUCUCCAUGAAGAAGUCGAUUAAAUCUAUAUUCGCAAGCCCUAAAGUCCGAUUCCAGGUUUUUACGACUCCAGAAGGGAAGUUGGACGUGCAAGGAUCGAGUUCCACGGUGAUCACGCUUGUCUUGAGGGGAAAAUCCGAUCCCGAUGCUUUCUUGGUUAAGUUAUGGGAGGCGUGGAGUGGAAGAGCAUGGGAGAAUUCGCGUCAGGAAGGGCCAAGUGAUUCAAAUUCUGUGAACUUGCAAUCGAUUGAUGGAUGUUCAACUGGUGGGAGAUUCAAAAUGCCGGUGGUCGGUGUUGCAGGCAUACUUAGGAAGGAGCAGGAGAUCUGGGAGAACACGGAUAAAAGCCUGCAAGAAGCUUUCCAGGAUAUGAAUGCUCUCAUGAGCAAAGCUAAAGAGAUGAUGAUGCUAGCUGAGAAGAUGAGGCUUAAACUUCUGUCAGGGUCGAGUAACCAAGCUAGUGGUCUAGUCGAUGAUGAGUUGGGUUCCAAAGAAGAAAUGCAAAAUUGGUUGCUAAGUGUUGGUAUCAUUUCACCAGUUACAAAGGAGUCUGCUGGUGCUUUGUAUCAUCAACAGUUGUCACGACAGUUGGCAGACUUUGUCAAAUCUCCUCUGGAGAGAGCUGGAGGAAUGAUUAAUCUGAUAGAUAUUUAUUGUCUCUUCAACCGAGCCCGUGGUACUGAGUUGAUCUCACCAGAUGACCUACUGCAAGCGUGUUCAAUUUGGGAGAAGUUCGACGUUCCUGUCAUGCUUCGGAAAUUUGAUAGUGGUGUCAUGGUGAUCCAGAAUAAGUCCCACAGUGAUGAGGAGGUGCUUUCUAGAAUUAAAGCCCUUGUCCUGAAGCCUUGUGCCCUUAAAACUGGCAUUAGUGCCAGUGAUGCGGCUAUGAUAUUGGGGAUUGCUCCAGGUAUGGCUAAAGAACAUCUUCUUAAUGCUGAGAGCAAAGGUCUACUCUGCAGGGAUGUAAGCCCCGAUGGUUUCAGAUUUUAUGUGAACCUGUUUCAGGAAAUCAAUCUGGAUGAUUUACAUCUGGGAGUCCCCUUGCUCUUUGCCUCAAUUGGUUGUUAGAGAAGAGAUUCAUAUAAUAGAGACUGUAGAAAAAGGGAGUGGUUUAGACUUCAAGCUUACGGUGUGUACAGUUCAUGGGUUGGUGCUUCUAUUGUUGCCUCUAUCAUCUAGGGGAGGUUGAUGAAGGGGGUGGAUGAUGAGGGAGGUUCAUUUUGGUGUUGGAGGUGGUUAAUUGAUCAGUGUAUAUCUAUUAAUGAUAUAAAAAUUAUACCUGGAUUGGAGAGAUAGAUACACUGUAGCUGCUUGUUAGAUGUUCCACCGUCCUCCCUAACUUGUGUCACAUCACAAAGGAAAAACAUGUAUCCCCUAAUUUUCUCCAUUUCAUCAAAGUGUGUUUCUUUUUAUAUACAAUAAUUUUAAUUACCAUA